UGGGGGAUAUUGCACAAUGGGCGAAAGCCUGAUGCAGCGACGCCGCGUGGGGGAUGAAGGCCUUCGGGUUGUAAACUUCUUUUGCUCUGAACAAGGCAUGCCUUUGGGGUGUGUUGAGUGUAGGGGUUGAUUAGCGCCGGCUAACUACGUGCCAGCAGCCGCGGUAAUACGUAGGGCGCGGGCGUUGUCCGGAAUUAUUGGGCGUAAAGGGCUUGUAGGUGGCUGGUUGCGUCUGUCGUGAAAGCUCAUGGCUUAACUGUGGGUUUGCGGUGGGUACGGGCUGGCUUGAGUGCAGUAGGGGAGGCUGGAAUUCCUGGUGUAGCGGUGGAAUGCGCAGAUAUCAGGAAGAAUACCGGUGGCGAAGGCGGGUCUCUGGGCUGUUACUGACGCUGAGGAGCGAAAGCGUGGGGAGCGAACAGG
rnacentral:rRNA from 1 species